rnacentral:rRNA from 1 species
UACGUAGGGUGCGAGCGUUGUCCGGAAUUAUUGGGCGUAAAGAGCUUGUAGGUGGUUUGUCGCGUCUGCUGUGAAAAUCCGAGGCUCAACCUCGGACUUGCAGUGGGUACGGGCAGACUAGAGUGUGGUAGGGGAGACUGGAAUUCCUGGUGUAGCGGUGGAAUGCGCAGAUAUCAGGAGGAACACCAUGCGAAGGCAGCUCGCUAGGGACGGUAUU